CUGACAUCCUACUCAGAGCAUAUAUUGUUUUUUAAAAGUGCUGAAUAAAUGAAUCAUUAAUGUGUGAAAGAAGAGAGAGUAACAGAGUUAUAUUUCUAGGUAAUGAAAGUGCCCGCAACGAAAAUAUGUUGUAUAACAUACCCUUCCGCAAUAAGCUUCCUACUCGACUCCAAGUUGAAAAGGAAUUUGGUUUCUGAUGCAGGAAAGAUUACUAAAGAAGAGUCUCACUCAACUUGUAGAAGCAAAAAUGUUCACCAUGACUUGACAACCAGCCUCUCCAAAUAAAAGUCAGCUGAACUUGACAAUGCUAUUAAGCUCUGGCUUCUUUUUUCUUUUCUGGUGACAAGUGGUUUUAGGCCUUGAAGUCUGGACAACUGUCAUCUCUUCUACAUUGAAACAGUUGGAUCAACUACUCCAUUUUGAAGGCUG
rnacentral:lncRNA from 1 species